UCGCCGCCAUCUUCAGCAGACGGGCCCCCAGCCCGUGGGUGGUGGGCGGUGCGGCCACUGCGUUCGCCGGGGUGUUUCUGCUGACCGGUCUCGACGGUCUGCGUCUCGAGACGGGAGACCUGCUCACCGUCGGCUGCGCCUUCGCUUUCGCGGCACACAUCGUUGCGCUGUCCCAGUACGCCCACCGGCACCCGGUGGUGCCAUUCACGACAGUCCAGCUCGCGGUGACCGCUGUCCUCUCGCUCGCCCUGGCGUGGAUCUUCGAAUCCGGC
rnacentral:misc_RNA from 1 species